AAGGAUCACUGCAUAAUACGUCUACAAUACAUUUUGAGGUGAAUACACUGCCUCGCGACAGAAAGGCUCAGCAAUUUUGGAAUCGGGGAAACAUUUUUAAACUACUUCAGUCAAGUGUUCUACAAAUUGAAUACUGACGUAUUCAGCAAAGUAACAGGCCAUUCUAAACUCUGCAUUUUUAACUUGCUCUUCAAAUGUUUGUGCUUUUUUAAUUUCACAAUCUUGUUUAUUAAACAUAUCAUCAAUUUUCUGUG